GAGGUAGGAGUCGAGUACUGUAAGGUAUGGUGCUGGGUGCAGAUGCAGUGUGGCUCUGGAUAGCACCUUAUGGACAGUUGUGUCCCCAAGGAAGGAUGAGAAUAGCUACUGAAGUCCUAAACAGCAAGCCUAACUCAAGCCAUUGGCACACAGGUAUGGAGAGUCGGCUUGACUACACUGUGUGGAGCAACUUUUAAAGAAGCAAAGGACUCAGAAUUCAUGAUUGAAGAAAUGCAGGCAGACCUGUUAUCCUAAACUAGGGUUUUUAACGACCACAACAAGCAAGCAUGCAGCUUACUGCUUGAAAGGGUCUUGCCUCACCCAAGCUGGAGUGCAGUGGCCUUUGAAGCUUACUACAGCCUCAAACUUCUGGGCUCAAGUGAUCCUCAGCCUCCCAGUGGUCUUUGUAGACUGCCUGAUGGAGUCUCAUGGCACAAGAAGAUUAAAACAAUGUCUCCAAUUUUAAUAAAUUUUUGCAAUCCA
rnacentral:lncRNA from 1 species